UUCUUAAAAACAAGAAAAAAAACAGAACAGUGAAAGCAGCUGCUGAGAGACCGGGGGUGGCAGUGGUAGGGUAGUUCCCAAUGAUUUCAUGCAACGAUCUCACACCAUGUGCAAAGCACAGCUGGACGCAGACGUAGAUUUGUACCCAGACCCAUCAGUCAGCUCUCUCGGGGAUGCAGAGCUACAACCUAUCCCUUGAGAGUCACACAAUGGAGCAACAUUUCUGAGGGAUGGCCACAAGGAAGGAAGAAAAGAUUGCUACCCAGAAGAUCACCAUUAACUGCACAACUUCUGAGAGCUUCACUAAUAUAUAUGCUUUGGAAUUGCAGAUAUGCACUACAAAGAGGGAGUCAGUUCACCAGGCCAAGAACACUCAUACUUACCCUGCUCUAAUUUAACUCCUGCUUUCCCAGCCCCUCUCUUUUAAGUAACUUCUCCCAGUAGUUGCAACCUCUUGCUACCCCAGCUACCAGAGCUUACCAGCUAACCUCUGCACAUCAAGGCCCAUCAGCACAAACACUCUGCCCGUCCAUUAGUGCUUAUUAACAGGAAGAAGCACAUUAAGAGCAAAUUAAGCGUCUCACCUCACCCUGACAGAGUCCAUUUUAAACCAAGGAAUUAUGCUGUCCUCAAAGUCAACAACAGGCCAGCUCCUUCUUCCCACAUUUGCCACUUUAGCCAAAGCUCUUGGGCAAGGGCGACCAGCAGUACCCGAGGGGGCUUCCCCAACGUCCAGAGGGCAGAGGCAACAAACUCCUUGAGGGAUCCCUGCCCUGAAACCCAGCACACACCCUGCUAACAACAGCACAAGAAUCACUUUGUGCAGAUUUGGGAACUUACUGCUGCACAGCUCUUUACAGGUUGCCUGACUGAGAAUUAUAUUCAUUAGUAUUAGGUUACAGACUUACACCAAGAUUUUCAGUAGCAAAUGUGCAAUUUUAAGGGCUUUGAUAACCUGUACACACCUGAUUUUUAGAUACCCUUGCCUUCUCUGAAAGAAAUAAAAUAUCCUUACUUAUAUCUAGUUGUCAAAAUAGAGCAUUCAAAACCAGCACAUUUUCUAAAUGAACUACCAACAGUUUAAUUGAAGUUUUCAUUCUACAGAAGUUGAUGAUGUUUGAAAAUACUUCCAUUUGCCUUGUGUAAACGCAGUUUGCAAGUCUUAUGCGCUGUAUUACUGGAUACAUGCAUAAAUAUUUCUUAUCUCUUCCUGUCAUCUAUCCCUUGUCUACAUUCCUAUAUACAUUUGAAAUGGAAACUCCUAAGUAACACGCAUCAUUCAAAUCUGGGCCUUGUCAUUUAAUUAAAUCUAAAUAUUCAUUUUCAUCUCAAGGACUUGCUUCCAUUCUGACACUAAUAGAGAACUCAUCAGUCCAUGAAUAAAUAGUAAGGACAGACCAAAUGGAUCUAUCUUCUUGCUUUAAGCUUUAACUAGGAACCACACAGACACUGCCUUGUCAAUUACACUUCCACUGAGCGACUGAAACUAAAGCCUUCGUUUCUCUAACUACAUUUCUGCUACCUUCACCUUCUAACGCCUCUGCUCAUGUUUACUCUUCAUUUCACGUAAUCCAGUAACCUAUUCAGCAGACGCUGCUUCUCUAGCUUGUACACGACGAGGCCCUGGUGCUGGCUGGAACCUGAAGCACUGACACGACACAACCGAGCCCUGUCUGUCGCGACCCACCUGCCCGCCUCCCUUCGCUCCUUUACCGAUCGCUUUCCAUCCAACUGCAAGCCGGGUAAAAUUGUGUGUGUGAAAUUUCAUAUGACUGCUCCUGCAACUCCUGCCGCUUUCCCGAAGGCAACUAAUGAUAUCAAGGGCACAUUCCAAACAUAACUCUUUUAAUCUUGGUUCCCUCACCUAAGACGAAAAUUUCACACCUCCCAUACCACUGCCUACUUAAGUAAUCACCACCGGCGGACAGGGCCAGACAAAGUCCGGGACUUUGGGAUUUCUUGGUCACACUGUUCUCACGGAGAGGGGUUAUUUUCUGCAGGAAGACCGCCACAAUGGAGAACAGCACUACGCUUCUACCAGUCCGGGCGGAGCGGAGGAAGAGCGCAAAGACGUUUAAGCCGAGCACAAAGGAAGACACAAACAAUCCACUCGGGAGGUACCGAGGACGGGAACACGGCCUCCCUCCGACGCCACACAAAGCCAACCAGAGGCAGGCCCGCAGCAACAGGAAGGCAGGAGCCCAUCUCCAAGGCCUCUCCACCCCCCAGUGAGAAAAUACGGAGACGGCAGCUGAGGAGCUGCAUGGAGGAGAAAGCAGCUCCAGAGGGAUGUGCUGGCUGGGAGCCACGUACAGGCAAGCGCAAGCACAGAAAUGUCUCCCCAGCAUAAGCCUACUGCCUUGGGACCUGCCUGGGAUGGCCGGGAACCUUCUACAUACAGUGCAUUAGGUAACUGGGUUGAACUUCAGGGUUGGAGGGUGGAUGUUCCACCACCUUAACCCUAACUGAAUAUUAUCCACAACUGUACUAGCAAUUUCAGGCACUAACCUGAAUGAGCUUUUUUCCCCAAAAUUUUCCAAAUCUGAUUCUCAAUAUCAAAUGAGUGAGGCUCAGAAAUAACACAGGAAAAGGUGACCACUUGAAUGUGAACAAAAUAGACCUAAAUCUUGGUCUUUAUUGCUUUUCAUUAUACCAGAAUAUCUACUAUAUAGUGAAAAAUAAAAUGAAAGACCUGAAAAAGGAAGGUCCUGAGGGAAUUGGCAGGUGAAGUUGCUAAGUCACUGUCCAUCGUAUCUGAGAAGUCAUAGCAGUCCAGUGAAGUUCCCAUUGACUGGAAGAGGGAAAACAUUGCCCCCAUUUUUAAAAAGGGAAAAAAGGAAGACCCAGGGAACUACAGGCCAGUCAGUCUCACCUCUGUGCUGGGCAAGAUCAUGAAGCAGUUCCUCCUGGAAACUAUGCUCAGGCCCAUGGAAAAUAAGGAGGUGAUUGGUGACAGCCAACAUGGCUUCACAAAGGGCAGAUCAUGCCUGACAAAUCUGGUGGUCUUCUAUGAUGGGGUUACAGCAUUGGUGGAUAGGGGAAGAGCAACUGACAUCGUCUACGUGGACUUGGGCAAAGCAUUUGACACUGUCCUGCAUGACAUUGUUGCCUCUAACUUGGAGAGACAUGGAUUUUAUGGACAGACCACUUGGUGGGUAAGGAAUUAGCUGGAUGGUCGCACUCUCUUAAAGACUCAUGCUUGAAGGCUCAAUAUCCAGGUAAAUACUGAGGUGAUUCCCCCCCUCUACUCUGAUCUUGUGAGACCCCACCUGGAGUUCUGCAUUCAGCUCCAGAACCCCCAGCACAGGAAAGACACAGACCUGUUGGAGCAAGUCCAGAGGAAGGCAAUCAGGGUGAUCAGAGGGCUGGAGCACCUCUCCUAUGAAGACAGGCUGAGAGAGUUGGGGUAAUUUAGCCUAGAGAAGGGAAGGCUCCAGGGGACCUUAUAGUGGCCUUCCAGUAUUGAAAGGGGACCUACAUGAAAGCUGGGGAGGGACUUUAUAUGAGGGAGUGUAGAGUUAAUACAAGGGACAAUGGUUUUAAGCUAUAAGAAAGUAGGUUUAGAUUUGAUAUGAGGAAGAAAAUCUUUCCUAUGUGGGUGGUGAGGCACUGGAGCAGGUUGCCCAGAGAGGCUGUGGAUGCCCCAUCCCUGGAAGUGUUCCAAGGCUGGGUUGGAUGGGGCUUUGAGAAACUUUGUGUAGUGGGAGGUGUCCCUGCCCAUGGCAGGGGGGUUGGACUAGAUCAUCGUUAAAGAUCCAUUCCAACGCAAAUCAUCCUAUGGUAAAAUUUGUAAGAAGUAAUAUAUUUCUAUCUGUAUGUAAUAAGACUGCAAUAGCAUUAACUCCUGAGGUCAUUACCAACUACUGAUACAAGGCUCCAUGGAUUGUUUACUUUCAUGAAAGAUGACAAAAUUAUACGUAUGUAGGCUUUGUAAAUAUAUUAUUAGUUGCAGUCAAGAUUCUGUUUUUGCCACAAGAAUCAUUAGAAAGUACAGCGUUGGUGAAAAGUUAUACUUGAACUUGCCCCCAAUACUUUAAGC